rnacentral:rRNA from 1 species
GGGAGGCAGCAGGUGGGAAUAUUGCACAAUGGGCGCAAGCCUGAUGCAGCGACGCCGCGUGAGGGAUGACGGCCUUCGGGUUGUAAACCUCUUUCAGUAGGGAAGAAGCGAAAGUGACGGUACCUGCAGAAGAAGCACCGGCCAACUACGUGCCAGCAGCCGCGGUAAUACGUAGGGUGCGAGCGUUAUCCGGAAUUAUUGGGCGUAAAGAGCUCGUAGGCGGUUUGUCGCGUCUGUCGUGAAAGUCCGGGGCUUAACCCCGGAUCUGCGGUGGGUACGGGCAGACUAGAGUGCAGUAGGGGAGACUGGAAUUCCUGGUGUAGCGGUGAAAUGCGCAGAUAUCAGGAGGAACACCGGUGGCGAAGGCGGGUCUCUGGGCCGAUACUGACGCUGAGGAGCGAAAGCAUGGGGAGCGAACAGGAUUAGAUACCCUGGUAGUCCAUGCCGUAAACGUUGGGCGCUAGGUGUGG